ACACCGGCAGCCCGAGUGGUGGCCACUAUUAUUGGGCCUAAAGCGUCCGUAGCCGGUCCGGUAAGUCCCUGUGGAAAUCCUCAGGCUCAACCUGAGGAAAUGCGGGGAUACUGCCGGACUCGGGGCCGGGAGACGCGGAGGGUACUCCAGGGGUAGCGGUGAAAUGCUGUAAUCCCUGGGGGACCACCAGUGGCGAAGGCGCUCCGCGAGAACGGGCCCGACGGUGAGGGACGAAAGCCAGGGGAGCGAACGGGAUUAGAAACCCUUGUAGUCC
rnacentral:rRNA from 1 species